AUACAGAGAGUGCAAACGUUGUUCGGAAUUACUGGGCUUAAAGCGCACGUAGGCGGCAUUGCAAGUGUGAGGUGAAAGCCCACGGCUCACCCGUGGAACUGCCUUGCAAACUGCAGUGCUAGAGUGUGGUAGGGGAGAGCGGAACUCCUGGUGGAGCGGUGAAAUGCGUAGAUAUCAGGAGGAACACCGGUGGCGAAGGCGGCUCUCUGGUCCAUAACUGACGCUGAGGUGCGAAAGCUAGGGUAGCGAACGGGAUUAGAUACCCCGGUAGUCC
rnacentral:rRNA from 1 species